AAGGGUAUAGCUUAGUAGUAAAGCAUGUGCUUAGCAUGCACAAAGUCCUGGGUUCAAUCCCCAAUACCUUCA
rnacentral:tRNA from 1 species